rnacentral:rRNA from 1 species
ACAGGUGCUGCAUGGCUGUCGUCAGCUCGUGUCGUGAGAUGUUGGGUUAAGUCCCGCAACGAGCGCAACCCUCGCCCUUAGUUGCCAUCAUUCAGUUGGGCACUCUAGGGGGACUGCCGGUGAUAAGCCGCGAGGAAGGUGGGGAUGACGUCAAGUCCUCAUGGCCCUUACGGGUUGGGCUACACACGUGCUACAAUGGCGGUGACAAUGGGAUGCAAGGGCGCGAGCCUUAGCUAAUCUCAAAAAGCCGUCUCAGUUCGGACUGGGGUCUGCAACUCGACCCCACGAAGUCGGAAUCGCUAGUAAUCGUGGAUCAGCAUGCCACGGUGAAUACGUUCCCGGGCCUUGUACACACCGCCCGUCACACCAUGGGAGUUGGCUUUACCUGAAGGCGUUGCGCUAACCCGCAAGGGAGGCAGACGACCACGGUAGGGUCAGCGACUGGGGUGAAGUCGUAACAAGGUAGCCGUAGGGGAACCUGCGGCU